AACAAAUGGCUGAAAAGAAAUCAAAGAAGAAACUAGAAGAAGAGGAAGAAGAUGGGGUGAACGCAGAAAGCUUUCAGGAGUUUAUCCGACAAGCAAGUGAGGCUGAACUGGAGGAGGUGUUGACUUUUUAUACCCAAAAAAACAAGUCUGCCAGUGUCUUCCUGGGAACUCAUUCUAAAAGUUCUAAGAACAGCAGUAGUUACUCUGAUAGUGGGGCAAAAGGCGAUCACCCUGAGACAAUACAAGAAGUGAAAAUAAAGCAACCCAAACAGCAACAGGCAACAGAAAUCCACUCCGAUAAAUUAUCUCGAUUUACCACUUCAGCAGGAAAAGAGGCUAAACUAGUGUAUACCAAUUGUUCUUCUUUCUCUGGCCCUGCUGCUGUUCUCCUGCAGAGACUCCCCAGCACCCAUUUGUCAUCUAUUAUCACAACCUCUACCCUCUCCUCAGGCCCUGGCCACCAUUCCUCUUUAUCUCAGAUUUCUCCAGCUAUCCCCAGCAUGCCUCACCAGUCAGCACUUUUACUGAACCCUGUCCCCGACAGUGCCUCUCCCCCAGUACACCCUGGGACCCCGAACGUAAGCCCCGCUGGGCUGCCACGCUGCCGGUCAGGCAGCUACACCAUUGGCCCCUUUUCCUCUUUCCAAAGUGCUGCCCACAUCUAUAGCCAGAAACUGUCUCGUCCCUCUUCAGCAA
rnacentral:lncRNA from 1 species